rnacentral:rRNA from 1 species
UGGGGAAUAUUGCACAAUGGGGGAAACCCUGAUGCAGCGACGCCGCGUGAACGAAGAAGGUAUUCGUAUCGUAAAGUUCUGUCCUAUGGGAAGAUAAUGACAGUACCAUAGAAGAAAGCUCCGGCUAAAUACGUGCCAGCAGCCGCGGUAAUACGUAUGGAGCGAGCGUUGUCCGGAAUUAUUGGGCGUAAAGGGUACGCAGGCGGUUUAAUAAGUCGAAUGUUAAAGAUCGAGGCUCAACCCCGCAAAGCAUUGGAAACUGAUAAACUUGAGUAGUGAAGAGGAAAGUGGAAUUCCUAGUGUAGUGGUGAAAUACGUAGAUAUUAGGAGGAAUACCAGUAGCGAAGGCGACUUUCUGGACACAAACUGACGCAGUGGUACGAAAAAGUGGGGAGCAAACAGG